UGCGCGACUUGAAUCCGUGUGGCUCCCUGGAGCAACUGCCUAACAACAACAGCACCCUGAGAAAGUGCCCCAACAAGCUCCAAACUCGUGUGGCCGCCGCAGGGCAUUCAUUCAUUCUUCCACUGUAUCAGUCACGCGUGUGGCUCUCGUCAUGAAUCUCAUCUUCUGCAUAUCACCCACCUACUGCACCUUUCGCCGCAAACUCGACACCAUCACAUACUCUCACAGAGAGAGCGAACAUACUAAUUUCGACGAGUCUCGCAUCAGUGGUUGUUGGGUUUGACCAGGUUUUGAGUGGCUUUGAUGGCUUCGACUGGACAACGAAGUCGAGGUUUACCGACACAUGCUUCGGCGACGCUAACACUCGGCGAGUGUUUUCGAAUAUCAACUAGGACCUCAAUAGAAUGUUUGGAUAAUGAGUUUUUAGAUUUCAGUUCGACAGAAUUGUGGACCAAAUUGUGAUAGCGUUGACAAGGGUUUAGAGUUUGCAGAGAAGAUGUGGUGGCUGAAUCUCAUCCUUCAUUUUCAUGUGAAAAAAUUGACCCUGUGUCUUGCAACACCCCACGUGUAAGAUACGAAUGUCCUGGUAAAAAAUGAUGAAACAUGUGACAAUAUGAAA